CCUUCCCUUUCUUUUCGUAUUUUGAUUGAGGCUGCCGACGACGAGUGUCGCCGAUCUACAGUCGGGAAUGAGAUUCUAUUUUUGGGUCUCUUUUCCUUGAUUUUUUCGGUGCCGACGAUCGGAAUCGAUCGUUGGCCACGCUCCUCCGUGAUCGGGGGAGUUGCCCCCUCUGUCGUCGGCCUCCGCCGUGGCGGCCGCGGCCCGAACGGCCAAUCAAGGCCGGAGGACCAAGGGUCCUCUGUUCCGGCGCGGGAAGGGCCG
rnacentral:lncRNA from 1 species